GCGGCAGGCCUAACACAUGCAAGUCGAGCGGUAACAGGAGAAAGCUUGCUUUCUUGCUGACGAGCGGCGGACGGGUGAGUAAUGUAUGGGGAUCUGCCCGAUAGAGGGGGAUAACUACUGGAAACGGUGGCUAAUACCGCAUAAUGUCUACGGACCAAAGCAGGGGCUCUUCGGACCUUGCACUAUCGGAUGAACCCAUAUGGGAUUAGCUAGUAGGUGGGGUAAAGGCUCACCUAGGCGACGAUCUCUAGCUGGUCUGAGAGGAUGAUCAGCCACACUGGGACUGAGACACGGCCCAGACUCCUACGGGAGGCAGCAGUGGGGAAUAUUGCACAAUGGGCGCAAGCCUGAUGCAGCCAUGCCGCGUGUAUGAAGAAGGCCUUAGGGUUGUAAAGUACUUUCAGCGGGGAGGAAGGUGAUAAGGUUAAUACCCUUAUCAAUUGACGUUACCCGCAGAAGAAGCACCGGCUAACUCCGUGCCAGCAGCCCGCGGUAAUACGGAGGGUGCAAGCGUUAAUCGGAAUUACUGGGCGUAAAGCGCACGCAGGCGGUCAAUUAAGUCAGAUGUGAAAGCCCCGAGCUUAACUUGGGAAUUGCAUCUGAAACUGGUUGGCUAGAGUCUUGUAGAGGGGGGUAGAAUUCCAUGUGUAGCGGUGAAAUGCGUAGAGAUGUGGAGGAAUACCGGUGGCGAAGGCGGCCCCCUGGACAAAGUACUGACGCUCAGGUGCGAAAGCGGGG
rnacentral:rRNA from 1 species